ACAAAAUCAUCAACCAAAGGAUCAAUCACAGUCAUGAAAAUAGAUUCAGGAUCCUCUUCGGUUUCUGUUUCUGCCUCUGAAUCAGGAUCCGUUUGGGCAAACAGAUCAUCUUCCGCAGUAGAGGCACUGAGAUCAGCCAUGAAAAAAGGUUCCGUCCGGGCAGACAGAGCAAUCUCCGAAUCCAACAGACCUUGCAGCUUCCUUUCCUUAACCUGGAGUUUUUUUUUUUUUUAAAUCCUGCUCAAAAACAACAGAAAAAAAAUAAAAUAAAAUAGAAUCAAUAGGAAAAAGAAAUUAAUUAACACCGUUCCCCGGCAACGGCGCCAAUUUGGUGGACGUCGUAUUCCA
rnacentral:lncRNA from 1 species